rnacentral:rRNA from 1 species
UACGUAGGGUCCAAGCGUUAUCCGGAAUCACUGGGCGUAAAGCGUGCGUAGGUGGUCUAUUAAGUGAGAUGUGAAAGCGUGUGGCUCAACCAUAUCGUUGUGUCUUAUACUGGUAGACUAGAGGACGGCAGAGGCAAGUGGAAUUUCUCGUGUAGCAGUGAAAUGCGUAGAUAUGAGAAGGAACACCAAUGGCGAAGGCAGCUUGCUGGGCCGCCCCUGACACUGAGGUACGAAAGCGUGGGGAGCGAACAGG